GAUGACCGCUGGCGGCGUGCCUAAUACAUGCAAGUCGAGCGAACGGACGAGAAGCUUGCUUUUCUGAUGUUAGCGGCGGACGGGUGAGUAACACGUGGAUAACCUACCUAUACGACUGGGAUAACUUCGGGAAACCGGAGCUCCUCACGGAUAAUAUUUUGAACCGCAUGGUUCCAAAGUGCACGACGGUCUUGCUGUCACUUAUAGAUGGAUCCGCGCUGCAUUAGCUAGUUGGUAAGGUAACGGCUUACCACGGCAACGAUGCAUAGCCGACCUGAGAGGGUGAUCGGCCACACUGGAACUGAGACACGGUCCCGACUCCUACGGGAGGCAGCAGUAGGGAAUCUUCCGAAAUGGGCGAAAGCCUGACGGAGCAACGCCGCGUGAGUGAUGAAGGUCUUCGGAUCGUAAAACUCUGUUAUGAGGGAAGAACAUAUGUGUAAGUAACUGUGCACAUCUUGACGGUACCUAAUCAGAAAGCCACGGCUAACUACGUG
rnacentral:rRNA from 1 species